rnacentral:rRNA from 1 species
AUUGAACGCUGGCGGCAUGCCUUACACAUGCAAGUCGAACGGCAGCAUGGGUGCUUGCACCUGAUGGCGAGUGGCGAACGGGUGAGUAAUGCAUCGGAACGUACCCGGAAGUGGGGGAUAACGUAGCGAAAGUUACGCUAAUACCGCAUAUUCUGUGAGCAGGAAAGCGGGGGAUCGCAAGACCUCGCGCUUCCGGAGCGGCCGAUGUCGGAUUAGCUAGUUGGCGGGGUAAAGGCCCACCAAGGCAACGAUCCGUAGCGGGUCUGAGAGGAUGAUCCGCCACACUGGGACUGAGACACGGCCCAGACUCCUACGGGAGGCAGCAGUGGGGAAUUUUGGACAAUGGGGGAAACCCUGAUCCAGCCAUGCCGCGUGCAGGAUGAAGGCCUUCGGUUGUAACUGCUUUGUACGGACGAAAGGUACCUUCUAAUAAAGUAGGGACUCAUGACGGUACCGUAAGAAUAAAGCACCGGCUAACUACGUCGCCAGCAGCCGCGGUAA